rnacentral:rRNA from 1 species
UACGUAGGGGGCAAGCGUUGUCCGGAAUUAUUGGGCGUAAAGAGCGUGUAGGCGGUCCGGUAAGUCGGCUGUGAAAGUCCAGGGCUCAACCCUGGGAUGCCGGUCGAUACUGCCGGCCUCGAGGGGGAUAGGGGCGUGCGGAACUCAGGGUGGAGCGGUGAAAUGCGUAGAUAUCCUGAGGAACACCGGUGGCGAAAGCGGCGCGCUGGAUCCCUUCUGACGCUGAGGCGCGAAAGCCAGGGGAGCAAACGGG